CGCCUAACACAUGCAAGUCGAGCGAGGGUCUGUACGACCUAGCGGCAGACGGGUGAGUAAUACGUAGACAAUCUGCCCUUGAAAGGAAGAUAACCCGGCGAAAGUCGGGCUAAUAUUCCAUAUAAUCCCGAGGAGGCAUCUCCCUAGGAUGAAAGCAGCAAUGCGUUCAAGGAGGAGUCUGCGGCCUAUCAGCUAGUUGGCGGGGUAAUGGCCCACCAAGGCUUUGACGGGUAGCCGAUCUAAAAGGAUGACCGGCCACAAGGGCACUGAGACACGGGCCCUACUCCUACGGGAGGCAGCAGUGGGGAAUUUUGGACAAUGGGGGAAACCCUGAUCCAGCGACGCCGCGUGAAGGACGCACCUCUUCGGAUCGUAAACUUC
rnacentral:rRNA from 1 species